rnacentral:lncRNA from 1 species
AGCAAGAGUUGUGUUUUUUGUUUUUUGUUUUGAGAUGGAGUCUCGCUCUUGUCACCCAGGCUGGAGUGCAAUGGUGCGAUCUCAGCUCACUGCAACGUCUGCCUCCCAGGUUCAAGCGAUUCUGGGGAGGGGAGGAGGAGGGAAGCAAGGAGAGAGGAACGCAGGGAGCAGAGCCUGACCUGGUCACAGGGGUCUGGGAAAGACAGAGGCUUUGUUAGAGCCGGCAGCUGAGGGCCGAGGCCGAGCAGGGGUUAGGCCAGCACAGGACGAAAAGGAAGAAAGUUCCAGGUGGAGUCUGGUGGAGAAAGACCGACCUGGAAGGCACCAGCAUGUGCACGUGGCAACUGAGGUCGAGGACGUGCCUGAGAGAGAGGAGGAAGGUGCCCUGCGGACCGGGUAGGGUGCGGAGGUCGGGAAUGGAGAACGGUCGUUGGGCAGGUCCGGGUACCCGUAGCCAGAACCACCCGGGUGUGCGCAGCUCGGCCAGGCCCCGCCUCCCGGCGUCCCCGCCCCCUGCUGGGCCUCUCUCCGCAGCCGCGAGACCCGCGCUUGGCGCAUAGGCCGGUUCUAAUUUACAAGAACACCGCGGCCUGAGGCCGGAGAGUCCCUUCAACCCGGGAGGCGGCGGCUGCAGGGAGCCGAGACGGCGCCAUUGCCCUCCAGCCUGGGCAAAAAGAGCGAAACUCCGUCUCAAAAAAAAAAAAACAUGGCCGAAACCAGGAAGCUGCGCGAUGGCGCCACGGCCCCUCUUCUCCCGGCCUGUGUCCGGAAGGUUUCCCUCCGAGGCGCCCCGGCUCCCGCAAGCGGAGGAGAGGGCGGGACGUGCCGGGGCCGGAGCUCAGAGGCCCUGGGGCCGCUCUGCUCUCCCGCCAUCGCAAGGGCGGCGCUGACCUGAGGCCUCCCCGCAAAGGUCCCCGAGGCGGCGGCGGCGGCGGGCUGUGAGAACCGCAGAAGAACGCUGGGCGCGCAGCGACCCGUCCACCCCCGCGAGGAGAGACUUCCACAGAGGCAGCGUUUCCACAGCCCAAAGCCACGUUUCUAGGGUGAUGCAGCCCCAGUAAGUUCCUGGCGGGGAAGCUCACGGCUGUCAAAAGAACUCUUCGCUCCAGCCGGCGCACGAAGGGGAGGAGGGCAGGAGGCUGCCGCCCGCACAGGUCAUCUGAUCACGUCGCCCGCCCUAGUCUGCUUUUGUGAAUCUCCACUUUGUUCAACCCCCACCCGCCGUCUCUCCCUCCCUGCGCCUUCCCUCUAACCUUAAAGACCCAGCUACCUCUACGCAAAUGGUAGCUACCUCUGCGCAGGUGGAAGUUGAGUUCGGUUCACGCGGGACCCUCUUCCCUGUGGCAAGCUGCUGAAGGAGACCUGCUGUUACUGCUUUAGCUGCUGUUCUGCUUAAUCUCAGACAGCUGGAAGGUAGUAUUCCGCCCUCGCCCAGCCACCCGAGUAAAUGAGAAUGAUGACUGACUGAGACCCUGAUGGUGGUGGCUUAGGCUUAAUCUCAGACAGCUGGAAGGUAGUAUUCCGCCCUCACCCAGCCACCCGAGUAAAUGAGAAUGAUGACUGACUGAGACCCUGAUGGUGGUGGCUUAGGCAAGAUGAACGUCUGAAAUGGAGGCCCAGGGCUGCCACGAUGGCUCUGUAGUCAUCAGGGAGGGAGCUCCUUUUAUCUUGUUACCUACUCCCCUCUUGUGCCCCUUUCUUCCCUUGAUCUAAGAAGGUUGCUCCGGAUCUCGCCAUCUGGCCUGCGUUCAAUCAGCAGAAGCUUCCUGGAGGAGCAGGAGGAGGCACUGUGCUCGCAUCACAUACCAGUGGCCAGAAGUUGGCUUCAGGGAAGCUCAGGAAAUAGGAUGCGAGAAGCCAUGAGACCUCCCCAAACUCUGCAGUAACAGAGUCAACAAGACAAUGGCUUAAAGAUGGAGAGACCAGUUGAUCGGUCACACAAGCUGUUCCACGAUAAUUCUUGUGUCAGAAGGGGAGGCUGACUACCAGGACCACUGGCCCCACUUCCAGCCCCUCCAUUCUGAGUACACUUCAGAGGGCUCUGGCAGGGUGAGGGGGUCUUGGUGGUGCCACAGAGAGUAAAGGUCUAGCACACCCAUUGUGGAGAUAUUUCAUGGGGACAACCCAGUGACUUCACUUGAGCACGUGCCCAGCUUCCUUUCAAGUCUCUGGCCAAUGCAAUGUGAGCAGAAGUGAAGGGGCAACUUUCAGGUGAUGACUUGGAAAAGAAAGCUUAGUCCUCUGCUUCUCCUGUCACCCGAAAGAGAAACAGAGGCUUGUCUUGUUGAAGCCAGUGUGUUUGGUGUCUUUUUGUAUAGUGGCUUAGACAGUGGCCUAACUAGAAGACCAAGGCUCAAAGGAACACAUUUUGAGCUUCUCCACAGUUUGAGAACCUCUACAUUACCUACACCAAGCCUUCCCCAGCACUCAAUUUAUGGAAGACCAUUUCUCUUCUCAUGACACAUGUCCUCAUGUUGCUUUGGCCUGUUUUAAAGCUUUCUCAACUCCAUCUCAAUAAAGAAAUCUGCAGCUUUGUUGGAUGAGAGGAUCUAAAAAGUUCGUUCUUCCAAUCGGUUGUAAAUAUAGACACUAAUUUAUAAACUGACACAGGAACACACAGCAAAUUAGUAGAAAAUCCGAUUCCUGUUCCCUUUUCUCCUUGCAUUGUUUCCUGCCAAUGCUCACCAUUUCUUUAUCCUUUCCACUCUUCCUUGCUCCUCCUUCCCUUUAAUUUUUCUCUGUUGUGCCUAAAUAAGCUGUCCAUGCAUGGCACUCCAUGGGCUCUGAUAACAGACUCAACAAGACAAUGACUUAAAGAUGGAGUGACCAGCUGAUCAGUCACACAAGUUGUUCCAGUGUAAUUAUUUUCACAGGUGUCUCAGUUUGGAUGAUAAAUUAUAUGAACACUCUACUUACAGAACAAAGACCUUUAUUUAUGUCUCUCUUGCUUCAAAGUCCAAGGUGAGCAUGCCUGCCUGGCAGCUCUGCCUCAAUUCCUUUUAAAUCAUUCCUUUGUCAUACUUCAGCACACUGCUGUCAUCUGUAUGGUUGAGCUGGACUGCUGCCAUGUUGAGUCACCAGUGACUUUUUGAUUCUUUAAUUCCCAGUUUGACUGGCAUUCCUCUGUGUGUGUGUAUUUAGUUCUAUGCAGUUUUAUCACAUGUGUAGGCUUGUGUAACCACUGCCACAGCCAAGAUACAGAACAGCCAA